UGCAGUCGAGCGGCAGCGCGGGGGCAACCCUGGCGGCGAGCGGCGAACGGGUGAGGAAUACAUCGGAACGUACCCCGGAGUGGGGGAUAACGCCGCGAAAGCGGCGCUAAUACCGCAUAUGCUCUGUGGAGGAAAGUGGGGGACCCGCAAGGGCCUCACGCUCUGGGCGCGGCCGAUGUCCGAUUAGCUAGUUGGUGAGGUAAUGGCUCACCAAGGCGACGAUCGGUAGCUGGUCUGAGAGGAUGAUCAGCCACACUGGGACUGAGACACGGCCCAGACUCCUACGGGAGGCAGCAGUGGGGAAUUUUGGACAAUGGGGGCAACCCUGAUCCAGCCAUGCCGCGUGCGGGAAGAAGGCCUUCGGGUUGUAAACCGCUUUUAGUCGGGAAGAAAAGGCGCCACCUAAUACGGGGCGUUCUUGACGGUACCGGCGGAAUAAGCACCGGCUAACUACGUGCCAGCAGCCGCGGUAAUACGUAGGGUGCGAGCGUUAAUCGGAAUUACUGGGCGUAAAGCGUGCGUAGGCGGUUCGU
rnacentral:rRNA from 1 species